UACAGAGGGUGCAAGCGUUGUUCGGAAUUACUGGGCGUAAAGGGCGUGUAGGCGGUUUAGCAAGUCAGAUGUGAAAUCCCGGGGCUCAACUCCGGAAGUGCAUUUGAAACUGCUAGGCUAGAGUACUGUAGAGGUUGGCGGAAUAUCCAGUGGAGAGGUGAAAAUUCGUAGAGUAUUGGAUGGAACACCGGUGGCGAAGGCGGCCAACUGGGCAGUAACUGACGCUGAGGCGCGAGAGCGUGGGGAGCAAACAGG
rnacentral:rRNA from 1 species